ACAUACCAAUUGUUGCCUCGGCGGAUCAGCCCGCUCCCGGUAAAACGGGACGGCCCGCCAGAGGACCCCUAAACUCUGUUUCUAUAUGUAACUUCUGAGUAAAACCAUAAAUAAAUCAAAACUUUCAACAACGGAUCUCUUGGUUCUGGCAUCGAUGAAGAACGCAGCAAAAUGCGAUAAGUAAUGUGAAUUGCAGAAUUCAGUGAAUCAUCGAAUCUUUGAACGCACAUUGCGCCCGCCAGUAUUCUGGCGGGCAUGCCUGUUCGAGCGUCAUUUCAACCCUCAAGCCCAGCUUGGUGUUGGGACUCGCGAGUUAAAUCGCGUUCCCCAAAUUGAUUGGCGGUCACGUCGAGCUUCCAUAGCGUAGUAGUAAAACCCUCGUUACUGGUAAUCGUCGCGGCCACGCCGUUAAACCCCAACUUCUGAAUGUUGACCUCGGAUCAGGUAGGAAUACCCGCUGAACUUAAGCAUAUCAAUAAGCGGAGGAAAAGAAACCAACAGGGAUUGCCCUAGUAACGGCGAGUGAAGCGGCAACAGCUCAAAUUUGAAAUCUGGCUCUCGGGCCCGAG
rnacentral:rRNA from 1 species